rnacentral:rRNA from 1 species
UACAGAGGUCCCGAGCGUUGUUCGGAUUCACUGGGCGUAAAGGGCGCGUAGGUGGCCCGUCAAGCGCGCGGUGAAAGCCCGGGGCUCAACCCCGGGUCGGCCGUGCGGACUGGCGGGCUCGAGCACUGUAGGGGCGGGUGGAAUUCCGGGUGUGAGCGGUGGAAUGCGUAGAUAUCCGGAGGAACACCGGUGGCGAAGGCGGCUUCCUGGACCGACACUGACGCUGAGGCGCGAAAGCUAGGGGAGCAAACGGG